rnacentral:rRNA from 1 species
GAGGAAUAAGCAUCGGCUAACUCCGUGCCAGCAGCCGCGGUAAUACGGGGGAUGCAAGCGUUAUCCGGAAUCAUUGGGCGUAAAGCGCCUGUAGGUGGUUUAAUAAGUCUGUUGUUAAAGACUAGGGCUUAACCCUAGGAAAGCAAUGGAAACUAAUAGACUAGAGUAUGGCAGGGGUAGAGGGAAUUUCUAGUGUAGCGGUGAAAUGCGUAGAUAUUAGAAAGAACACCAGUGGCGAAAGCGCUCUACUGGACCAUUACUGACACUCAGAGGCGAAAGCUAGGGUAGCAAAAGGGAUUAGAUACCCCUGUAGUCCUAGCCGUAAACGAUGGAUACUAGAUGUUGUGUUUUAUCACAGUGUCGCAGCUAACGCGUUAAGUAUCCCGCCUGGGGAGUACGCUCGCAAGGGUGAAACUCAAAGGAAUUGACGGGGGCCCGCACAAGCGGUGGAGCAUGUGGUUUAAUUCGAUGCAACGCGAAGAACCUUACCAGGGCUUGACAUACUGCAGAUCUUUUUGAGAAAGAAGAGUGCCUUCGGGAAUGCAGAUACAGGUGGUGCAUGGCUGUCGUCAGCUCGUGUCGUGAGAUGUUGGGUUAAGUCCCGCAACGAGCGCAACCCUUAUUUUUAGUUACCAACUUGUUGGGUUCUCUAGAAAGACUGCCGGUGACAAACCGGAGGAAGGUGAGGAUGACGUCAAGUCAGCAUGCCCCUUAUGUCCUGGGCUACACACGUGCUACAAUGGUUAAGACAAAGAGUCGCGAGUUCGUGAGAACCAGCUAAUCUCGUAAACUUAGCCUAAGUUCAGAUUGUAGGCUGCAACUCUGUCUCUAUACUGUGAAG